rnacentral:rRNA from 1 species
AUUGAACGCUGGCGGCAGGCCUAACACAUGCAAGUCGAACGAGUGGCGGACGGGUGAGUAAUGUCUGGGAAACUGCCAGAUGGGGGGGGAUCACUACUGGAAACGAUAGCUAAUCCCGCAUAACCUGGGAUGUGCACAGAGGGGUUUAGCUAGUAGGGGGGGUAACGGCUCACCUAGGCGACGCUCCCUAGCUGGUCUGAGGGGAUGAUCAGCCACAGUGGAACUGAGACACGGCCCAGACUCCUACGUGAGGCAGCAGUGGGGAAUAUUGCACAAUGGGCGCAAGCCUGAGGCAGCCAUGCCGCGUGUGUGAAGAAGGCCUUCGGGUUGUAAAGUACUUUCAGUCGGGAGGCGUUACCGACAGAAGAAGCACCGGCUAACUCCGUGCCAGCAGCCGCGGUAAUAC